rnacentral:siRNA from 1 species
CGGGCUUCGCUGCGUGUUCUCGCC